rnacentral:rRNA from 1 species
AGAGUUUGAUCAUGGCUCACGAUGACGCUGGCGGCGUGCUUACACAUGCAGUCGAGCGAGACUCGCUCAGCCGAUUCUUCGGAGAAGCAGAGCGACGAAGCGGCGGACGGUGAGUAACGCGUGGGAACCUGCCCUGUGCAGGGGGACAGCCGAGGGAAACUUCGAUUAAUACCCCAUAACACCAAAGCAUCGCAUGGUGCAAUGGUCAAAGAUUUAUCGGCACAGGAUGGUCCCGCGUCUGAUUAGCUGGUUGGUGAGGUAGCGGCUCACCGAGGGCGACGAUCAGUAGCCGGCCUGAGAGGGUGAACGGCCACAUUGGAACUGAGACACGGUCCAGACUCCUACGGGAGGCAGCAGUGGGGAAUAUUGCACAGUGGGGGGAGAGCGCUGACGCACCCACCGCCGCGUGAAGGAAGAGGGCCUUCGGGUCGUAAACUUCUGUCCUUGGGGAAGAAGAAUGACGGUACCCUUGGAAGAAGCCCCGGCUAACUACGUGCCAGCAGCCGCGGUAACACGUAGGGGGCAAGCGUUAUCCGGAAUUACUGGGUGUAAAGAGUACGUAGGUGGCCCUGUAAGCGUAGGGUUUAAGGCGACGGCCCAACUGUCGCAUGCCUCAUGACUGCAGAGCUUGAGUGCUGGAGGGAAGSCGAAUUCCUAGUGUAGCGGUGAAAUGCGUARAUAUAGGAGGACACCGGUGSSRRSGCGCCUUCUGGACAGUAACUGACACUGAGKWMSRAAGCGUGGGGAGCAACAGRAUUAGAUACCYKGUAGUCCACMCGUAAMCGAUGAGCACUAGGUGUCGGSYYYAWARKWSKKSSYGMMSRASSMWWMGSRYUMRSYKSKSMGCUGGGGAGUACGCACGCAAGUGUGAAACUCAAAGGAAUUGACGGGGACCGCACAAGCAGCGGAGCAUGUGGUUUAAUUCGAAGCAACGCGAAGAACCUUACCAGGGCUUGACAUCCCUCUGACCGGUCUGGUAACGCAGACCUUUCCUUCGGGACAGAGGAGACAGGUGGUGCAUGGUUGUCGUCAGCUCGUGUCGUGAGAUGUUGGGUUAAGUCCCGCAACGAGCGCAACCCUUGCCGGUGGGUGGCCAUCACUCACUCGGGCACUCUAAUGGGACUGCCGGAGACAAUCCGGAGGAAGGCGGGGAUGACGUCAAAUCACCAUGCCCCUUAUGUUCUGGGCGACACACGUGCUACAAUGGCCGUCACAGAGGGAAGCUAAGGAGCGAUCCGGAGCAAAACCCCAAAGGCGGUCCCAGUUCGGACUGCAGGCUGAAACCCGCCUGCACGAAGUCGGAGUUGCUAGUAAUCGCGGAUCAGCAUGCCGCGGUGAAUGCGUUCCCGGGUCUUGUACACACCGCCCGUCACACCAUGGAAGCUGGGGGUGCCCGAAGUCGGUCGCUAAUCAGACUGCUUAAGGCAAAACCAGUGACUGGGGUGAAGUCGUAACAAGGUAACCGUA